rnacentral:rRNA from 1 species
GACGAACGCUGGCGGCGUGCUUAACACACGCAAGUCGAACGGCAGCACGGGUGCUUGCACCUGGUGGCGAGUGGCGAACGGGUGAGUAAUACAUCGGAACGUACCUUAUCGUGGGGGAUAACGCAGAGAAAGCUGUGCUAAUACCGCAUACGCCCUGAGGGGGAAAGCGGGGGAUCGAAAGACCUCGCGCGAUUAGAGCGGCCGAUGCCUGAUUAGCUUGUUGGUGGGGUAAAAGCCCACCAAGGCGACGAGCAGUAGCUGGUCUGAGAGGACGAUCAGCCACACUGGGACUGAGACACGGCCCAGACUCCUACGGGAGGCAGCAGUGGGGAAUUUUGGACAAUGGGGGCAACCCUGAUCCAGCAAUGCCGCGUGAGUGAAGAAGGCCUUCGGGUUGUAAAGCUCUUUUGUCAGGGAAGAAACACCGGCUCUAACACAGUCCGGGAAUGACGGUACCUGAAGAAUAAGCACCGGCUAACUACGUGCCAGCCGCCGCCGUAA